GGAGGAGUGGCUGAGUGGUCGAAAGCGGCGGUCUUGAAAACCGUUGUACCGAAUGGUACCGUGGGUUCGAAUCCUACCUCCUCCG
rnacentral:tRNA from 1 species